rnacentral:rRNA from 1 species
GGUUAGUAGCGACAGAAGAAGACACCGGCUAACUACCGUGCCAGCAGCCGCGGUAAUACGGAGGGUGCGAGCGUUAAUCGGAAUUACUGGGCGUAAAGCGCAUGCAGGUGGUUUGUUUAAGUCAGAUGUGAAAGACCCGGGGCUCAACCUCGGAAUAGCAUUUGUAAACUAGGCAGACUAGAGUACUGUAGAGGGGGGUAGGAAGUUUCAGGUGUAGCGGUGAAAUGCGUAGAGAUCUGAAGGAAUACCGGUGGCGAAGGCGGCCCCCUGGACAGAUACUGACACUCAGAUGCGAAAGCGUGGGGAGCAAACAGGAUUAGAUACCCUGGUAG